AUUUUAGCUGUGUCUACUGUUCUGGGAAAGGGGGGGGGGAUACUUUAAGGGUGGCUUCUUGGCAGCAUAUCUUAAGGAUGUGUUUUUCAUGACGUGGCUGGUAAUCUGCUGUUGAUAGCGUUUUAGGCCUCUUCUGCUUUCACCGUGCACUUGUCCAAUUUCCUUAAAUUUGUAAAAACACACUCCAUGCCCUACUGAGGUUUAAUAACAAAAUGCCUAAAGAUACAAUUUAAAAAUGGUCCUUAGUUAUGUUGUCUGUAACACAAAAAGAAAAAAACCACAUUCCCGUGAACAUGGUCAGGUGUAAGGAGUGGACUAGAAACCAAAAGCGAAACCUAGAAAGCCUCGAGAACUGUUGCUUAAGACCUCUUGGCUCAAAGAAAAAAACCAAAGAAAAGAAAAAGAGAACAAGAAAACACACCCUUCCAGUGAAAAGCUCUGCGGUUCAUUUUCACUGGAAGGGUUCAAAUGAGCUAGAAAGAAUAAUGCAACAAAUAAUAUUUCACAGUUCGGGAGUACAGCUCAACAGUGCAGUGAAUCAGUGGAUUGUAUAAAAACCUGAUGGAGUUUCAUUCUAUUAAUUAUACACUUAUCAAUAAUGUAGGUGUGGUCUUCUGCUGCUAUAGACCAUCUGCUUCGAGGUUUUUGGUCACAGAUGCUCUUCUGCAUGACUUGGUUGUAAAGAGUGGUUAUUUGAGUUACUGUUGCCUUUCUAUCAGUUCAAAGCAUUCCUCUGACCUCUGAAAUCAGCAAAGCAUUUUUACUUGGAGAACUGCCCUGAUAUGAACUCUUCUUUUUUUUUUUUUUUUUUUUAAACUAACCUCGGUAAACUCUAGAGAUGGUUGUGCUGGGAAAAUCCCAGCAGAUUAGUAACUUGGAAAAUGCAAUGGUAAAUGUUUUUUUUCACUCUUCACUGCACUAUCUAUAAUGCCAGAAAAAGCCCCCAAAAAUAUAUUUAAAAGAAUGUAGGAGGAUACAACAGUGAGUGGCUACAUGCAUCUAAAAAAAAAAACAUGUUGGAGGCUCCGUCAUGGCCACUAUCUGGAAAAUAACUGAUUGGCAGCAGCUUAAUAUUGUCACGCUGCCAAUUCAGUAAGACCAUACCUGGAUUUUAAAAAAAAAAGAAAAAAAAAGAAACCACACACAAUGUGACACUAUCAGUCUUUGACGAUAGUGUCCUUCCAGAAGCCUGGAGAACUAUUCCUCAAGACUACUCAAAGAAAUUAAAAGAAAACUGCUUCAGACAGUUUUGACUGUGUUAAAGAAUAAAGGUCAUAACAAAUAUUAACUGUCAAGCUUGUUAGAAUUGUACAAAUUUUAUUUUUGCCUCAUGUGCUGUAUUACCGUG
ensembl:lncRNA